AACUUUUUUCUGGAUCUCAGUUCCAGGAUAUAUUCUGCAUCCCCUCCAAAAUUGAAUCACUUAUUUCCCAGAACAUUAUCUGUCUGCACAACUGAACGGAUAGACA